rnacentral:rRNA from 1 species
GACAGAAGGGGCAAGCGUUACUCGGAAUUACUGGGCGUAAAGCGUCCGUAGGGGUCCUCCCACGUCUGGGGUAAAAACACGAUGCUCAACAUCGUGCCCGUCCCGGAAACGAGGAGGAUCGAGUCAUUCAGAGGCAUCUUGAAUGCCGUGUGUAGGGGUAAAAUCCGUAGAUCCACGGUAGAACGCCAAAAGCGAAGGCAGGAUGCUGGGAAUGCACUGACACUCAAGGACGAAAGCGUGGGGAGCAAACGGG